CUUGAACGCUGGCGGCAUGCUUUACACAUGCAAGUCGAACGGUAACAGGCCGCAAGGUGCUGACGAGUGGCGAACGGGUGAGUAAUGCAUCGGAACGUGCCAGUCGUGGGGGAUAACGCCGCGAAAGCUGCGCUAACACCGCAUACGAUCUAUGGAUGAAAGCGGGGGACCGUAAGGCCUCGCGCGAUUGGAGCGGCCGAUGUCAGAUUAGGUAGUUGGUGGGGUAAAGGCUCACCAAGCCAACGAUCUGUAGCUGGUCUGAGAGGACGACCAGCCACACUGGGACUGAGACACGGCCCAGACUCCUACGGGAGGCAGCAGUGGGGAAUUUUGGACAAUGGGCGCAAGCCUGAUCCAGCAAUGCCGCGUGCAGGAAGAAGGCCUUCGGGUUGUAAACUGCUUUUGUACGGAACGAAAAGGCUCUGGAUAAUACCUGGGGCUCAUGACGGUACCGUAAGAAUAAGCACCGGCUAACUACGUGCCAGCAGCCGCAGUAAGAC
rnacentral:rRNA from 1 species